UACCAGCUCUCCGAGUGGUGUGGAUGUUUAUUGGGCCUAAAGCAUCCGUAGCUGGCUGGGCAAGUCCCCUGCUAAAUCCACCGAUUUAAUCGUUGGUGUGCGGGGGAUACUGUUCGGCUAGGGGACGGGAGAGGCCGACGGUAUUUUCGGGGUAGGGGUGAAAUCCUAUAAUCCCGGGAAGACCACCAGUGGCGAAGGCUGUCGGCUAGAACGCGCCCGACGGUGAGGGAUGAAAGCUGGGGGAGCGAACCGGAUUAGAUACCCGGGUAGUCCCAGCUGUAAACGAUGCAGGCUAGGUGUUUGGGCGGCCACGUGCCGCUCUAGUGCCGCAGAGAAGUCGUUAAGCCUGCCGCCUGGGGAGUACGGCCGCAAGGCUGAAACUUAAAGGAAUUGGCGGGGGAGCACCACAAGGGGUGAAGCUUGCGGUUU
rnacentral:rRNA from 1 species